UUCAGUCAGAUUUAAAGAGGUGGAGAUGCAUACAUUAGUCAGAUGUUAUGGGGGUAGUGGUCAAAAUAGUAAUCUUUUAAUCUCUUAUUCUGAAUUUGACAGCGUAUAUAAGAGGCGGUAUCACCAUAAGUGAGGACAGACUGUUCCUUUGCAAACACUGACGUCUGCAACAGACUCUGGCUGGCAGGUGGUAUAGUGACGGUUGCUCUGUGGUCAAGAAGCUUUUUCUUUCUGUGACGAUGGGGGAGAGUGAGGCAUGCUUAUUUUCACCUGUUGCUCCUGCUUGGACCUGGAUUAAACACUGCCUGUCCAAACACUUCAGGCCUAAACACUCACUGGAGGAAGGUUCCCAAAGUGAGCACUGGUCAUCUCACCUGUUUUGCACCAGAAAGAGUCUUGUGGUGGCCCUUCUGGUCAUUUUGGCCUUGGUUGUCAUGAGCCUGCUUCUACUGCUGAACUAUUAUUGUAUUAUGGUCUGGCACCUGUGUCAACAUGAACAUGAGUCUGUUUUCCCAGUAUUUCAAAACACUACGCCAGAGCUGGACUGGCAGGACUGAGAUGUAACACAUUUGAUUGGUUUUGUUUUAAUGUCUGGUGCACCCAUCUGGGAUGCAUUUAUGUUUUAUGCUGCUGUGUGAGUGUGUGUUUUGUUGUUGUUGUUGUUGUUUUUUUGAUGAACAGAAAUAACACUGAAAAUCUCCAGUGUGAGAUUUUUCAGUAGAUGUGUGAUUUUAAAAUUUUAUUAUUUACACGCUCAGGUUACUCAGUUGACCUUUUAGUUUUGUAUUUAUUCAAACGAUUUCCUAGGUUAGUCAUUACAUAUUCUUGAAAAUUGUGCAUAUUUUAAUUUGCAGAGUAACCGUAUUUAUCCAUCUAUUUAAAAUAGUUGAACUUUAUCUAGUGAAGCUUGAAAUGUUGUUAAAUACUUUUCAUAAAUUACAGGAAUAAUUGUAUUCAGAGCAUGCUGUUUGUGUCAGCUAUUGAAUAGAGGCAGGAGACAUCGAAUGAGGCAAAACUUUGUAAAUAAAACUGGUCUCCAUCACAUUAGUCCUACAAGAAUGACUCUAGAUUGCUGCGCCAGUGGACACGCCUUUAGGAGUCACAUUUUAAAAAGAUAACAGAAGAUUUUGGAAUGUUUGGAACACUCCCUCAUUCUACAAAAAGGUAAUAAUUUGUGCAGGACAUACUGUGGUUCUACUUACAAUCUAUUGUAAAGCAAUAACUAUUACAACAACACUACUACACCUAUCUGUAUUUCUAAAUAGUCUUUAUAACAAUAAAAUGUUUUAACAAUU